ACCCAUUAGAUGCUCUGGAAAGAAAACCAAAGGUUAUGUUUUUAACCCAGUUUAUUUUCAUCACCUGCACUUCUGGUGAUCUCAGACUUGAGAUGAACAUGCGUAAAGGACGGGGCAAGACUACACGCCAUUGCACGGUACCCCCUCCUGCCUUGUACUUCUUAUAAAAUCCACCUGGAAAAAUAAUCCCGGAGGCUGUGCUGACAAAUGACUAAGUCUUCCUGGUGCAGCAGUUUGCCCCUCCACUUUCCACGUGUGUUCUUUGGAAAUCAAACAGAGAGAAACUCUUGGGGUGGCCAAAGAAAACAUAGUCCUUUCUGGGCAAGUGCUCUGCUUAUAAAUAAACUGAUGUAUGGACAAAUUACCAAGAAGCAUAAAUACAAACCCUGCCAUCGGGCAGGCGUUUCCAGACUGCAGAGCCAACGAGGGGCUCUUUUGGCACUGUCAGAUGUUAUUGCUGCUGCUGGGUUGAUUUACAGCAGCUCUUUGUGCAUUGCUGGCUCCGGUGGGGGAGAGGCACUCACAAGGGACCGUCCUUCGCCAUCCUUCAUCCUCUGGAUGCAAACCCAGCAGAGGAAACCCCAAAUCUGCUCUUGUAGCCAUGAGAUAGAUAUAUAUAUAAUUACCAUCAUGAUGUGAUUUCUUCACUUAACAGCUGUUUAUAAAGAAUUUCUGAGGCUGUGAGGAGGAGCAGCCACAGUCUGCAAAACAGAUCAGGACCAGGGCUACUUUCUGCCUCUCUGAGUGAGGGACAGGGAUAUUUUGGGAACUUUUAGCCUGGAAAGGCAGGAAGGGAGGAGUCAAGAUGGAAACAGGGGGCCAGGUCUUCAGCAGACACAGAGCUCCAAUAGAGGCACCCCCUAAGAUCCUGUUCAAGAACUGCUUCCCUCUAGACUGAUGAAAUCCAAAGCAAGGCAUUUCACAUUAAUCCAUGGGAGAUGAGAUGAGGUUGGUUCAGAAGACAAGUCCUUCCUCUAGUUCUUCUUAUUGCUGAACUUGGGAAUGGGUAACUCCCCGGGUGGACAUAGGCCUCCCAUUGAGCCCCUGUGAGGUGAGGUGAGCUGAGUGUGGGCUGAAAGAGUAUUCUGAUGUUUUUCUGCUACCUGGAAGAACAUUAGGAGAGAAGGUUGCCCACCCAGCAUGUCAUGGGAAGGGCAGUAGAUAGCAAGCCUGUCCAGCAACUCAUUGCAGGAGGGGGCAACUAAUGGGACCACAAUGAAGAACAGAAAAUAUCAGAGAGGGGAGCAGCAGUACAGGCAACAACCAGAACAAACUACCUUCAGCAUCAGGAGUGCAGCUGACGAGUGCUGCAAGAUCUAAGAGGGCCAUGGGAAGAGGGCCUCCUGGCAGGAAGCAUUUACAGAAGGUGGAUAAGAUCUUGAAGCCAAAAGGAAGAUGAGAAAGCAAGGAAAGUAGACCCUUGGCCAGUGUUUGCUGUCUGGCAUAAGGGUCAGAAAGUUUUGUCUUUGGGAUGCUCCUUGGGGCUGAAGCAGAAGCCUGGCUUCCAGCUUCAGUUUUCAGUUUCCUUGGUCAUGUGGAUUCUGCUGGACUCCAAACCUCCCUCAGCAGCAGUGCUUUGUGGCCAGAUAAUUCCUGGCUGCUCUUGUAUGUACAUUGUUAGAGACUGUAAGUGACCCAGCUACACAGGGCAGUUCUUGAUCAAUGGGUCCUUCACGAGGUAUUUUUGUGAUGGACGGGAGCCAGCAAGAUCAUGUGCUCAGAAGUCAAUUAUCAUCUUUUGCCGUCACAGGCUGGGACACGACAGUCAGGCUCCAGAAGUUAUUUACAGCAAACCAACCAAGCCCUUUGGCAAAGCAGCUGGUGAACUCCACCACCAAAGGCUGAGUCCGGGAUCUGUCUCCCCAUGACCAGCACUGCAACAAAAAGAGCUUCUUUGAGCCUCGUCUUGCCUGGGAAUCAGCCUGAGCCCACCCUUGCCAUGCAGAGAAGAGGCAGGUCUACAGUGCCCAUGCACUUGGUCUGCUCCUGCUGCCAGCCCACACCACUGACUGCUCGUCUCAGCCAAAAAAGGCAGGAUGGGAUGACAAUAACAUGGGGAGAUAGUCCUGACUUCUGCAGCCAGAAGAAAAGGCUGGUACCUGACAAAUUUAGCUGUCACCAAGGAAGGGCAGGCACUUGCUCUGUGUCUUUAUGGCAAAGGUUGCUCCUCCACAUAUCAGGAACACAUGGGAAAAAAAAUAUCUGCUUUUCAGGUUUUAUCCCAGAAUAGCAAUGAGCAGUGAAAGGUGACCAUAAACUAAGACAAUAUUGAUCAAACCCUGGGGACGUGCCAAGCUCUGCAGAGGAGGCACAUGGUGUUUAACCACGUGUUAUUAGGCACACAAACAUCUUCCAAGUGCAGCUGAGCCAGGACUUGAGAGUGAACCAGGCUGAGACCCUCCCCGAGGCCCAGGAGGAGCCACAAAGCAGGAAAUGGAGCACAUGAGAAAUUUCAGCAUAAAACCUCACCACAGAGCUGUUCUGGGAGCGAGUUUCCCACCGGAGAGUGUGGUCACACUGGAACCAAAACUUUUCAUAAGAGCAGGCCAAAAUGAAAUGUCUGAUUUCUAGUUUCAUGUUUCUGCCAGGGCAGUUUCAUUUGUAGUUUACAGGCUGUGCAUUUCAUUGAUUUAAAUUAAUGGUUUAAUAAUAAUGUCCUAAUUCAAAAGUAAUGCAGUAUAUUAAAUUUGAUGCUCUGGAUAGAUGCUAAACAGUCCUGUGAUUAUUUUAAUGUUUAUAUUCUGACGUUAACAGAAAGAAAUACCUCAGUGUUACAGAGUGAAAAUCUGUUAUCUGUUCUGGGGCAAAUGCCAACAUUUUGGGUUUGGGACUUAUUUGCAUUUUCUGCUGUACAGAAGAGAGUAACUGAGGUUGGAAGGGAUCUCUGCAGGUCUCUAGUCCACCUCCCUGCUCCAAGCAGAGCUGUAUACAAAGAUGGAUGAAGAAAACCCACAAAGAUGGGAUUUCCACAUCUGCAGGACACUCUUCCAACCUCCUCCCUCCGGCAAGAGAUCUCUGAGAGCAAGCAAAGGACACAUUCAAGCACCAGAGAUCUGCUGGGAAUGAGAGGAAGAGCUCAUUUCCUGAAACAUCAGUGUCUUGUGCCAGCCUGGAUGCUGCAGGAACAUUCCCAUGGGACAGCACAUAUGGCAUAGAAGCUGUAGGACACUGACAUCCCUUGGGGAUUGUUGGAGCAAGGUGGGAUACCCAUAGUAUCCAAAAGUGUUGGACACAUCUGUCCAGGAGGUUGAAUCGCUCCUUAAUUGCCCUAAUAAAGACCAAAUGAAAACAUCUCUUUGCCUUCCUCCACUCACAGGUGGUCUCAGGCCCCCCCAAAAAAAAUAUCUCUGCACAAGGAUUGGAUCCUGCACAUUUCUCCAGGGAGCAGUGGGCAGAAUUUCAUGGUGAUUUUUGGUGCUUAUAGACCACUGAGAUUUCUGAAUCUGUAAUUACCAUCAAGUACCAUCCAAGUAUUGAGGGUAUUUUUGAAGCCUGCUGCAGGAGGCAUGAGAGCACUGUGAGUCAGGCCAUCAUCUCCAAUCCAAAAGAUUCAGGUGUCCAGUCUUGAAGAAUUUAUCUCUUCUGGUUUACACAGGGCUAGUCUGGUUCAUCAUCUAUCUGCUGUUUCAGGGACAAGCUAAUUAAAACAAAAUACUCUGGCAUGCACUCUUGCCCACAAGAUUCCUCUACAUAAAACAAUGUACAAUGUGCCUGGGUUUAAUGCUUCAGGCUGAAAGACACAAAACAAGUCAUGAUGUUGCUACAGGUAAGCAAUGUGCAGCAUCAGAAAAAUUGGCAGUUUAGAUGCAUUUUGAAGGGAAAGUAGCCAACUUUUAUUUGUGCUCUUCAUGCUCUUGCAGAAAGAUGCAGUGAAAAAAGAUUUCUUACAUUUAUUUUCAUUCAUUCAUUAUUUUCAUUUAUUUUCAUUCAUUGUGCCAUGAUUUUCCCUACUUUCCCCUGAUAGUUGUUUCUAAAGAGAAAAUGGGUUAAAAUCAAAAUCAUAUCUUGGCUUAAAACGAAACAAUGAGAUGGGGGACAUGAAUGUCUACUCCCCAGCUUUUCUGAACAUCAUGAUUUAAGUAAGGCAACAAGAAGCUCAAGCCAUGAACCAAUAUCCUGGAAUAAAUUGCAAAGAGGAGGAAGAGCAAGACAGGCUGCCAGCACUUGGAAAAGGCAGAAGAUAGCAGAAAUGGACCCAGAAAUGCCACAGGCUGCCCACAAUGGCUUGAGCACCCAUCAGGGUGGUGGCCUCAGAGCUGCUGGCAGGGUGGGAGGACCAUCCCCUCCUCUGGAAGACAGGCCAAGGCUGAUCACAAACACCAUUCAAGGAUAUCAUGUCAAGAUUUGGAGCAAACACUGCUUGGCACAGUCCACAAGCACAGAUAGAGUGCUUGCAAGUAGGGCUAGAAGAUCUGAUUGAAAAUCAACCUUUAUUUUUGGCUGAUGUUUACCCACAGUUAUCAUUUUUGGUCAGGUUCAGUUUCUUCCUGCUUCUCUGAGCUCCCAGAUCUCAGAUCCACCCCUUUGCCUCUGCUCCAGAGACAUAUGGGAUUGUUUGGGGACAUUUCACACCUCUUUUCUUUCUCCAAAUCCCUCUUUCUCUUUUAUCUCAGCCCCUAGAUCUCAGUGAAGGAAAGAGGCUGAAACAUGAAACAGUGGAAAAGAGGCAGAAAUUUCACUAAUGCAGUCCACAGCAUGAGAUGUGCCCAGGGAAGCAGAGCAGCAUAAAAUCUGCAUUUAUUGUUUAGAAGUAAAUGCUGCCAGCAGGCUGAGACAUCAUCUUCCUAAAUACAGUACAAAGUAUUGAUUGCAUUCCCUGUGCAUUCCCUACCUUUGCUCUUGCACCAAGCUCUGAGUUUAGAAAGCAGCAAGCAUCUCACUCCCACUGCAGUCUGCAGUUAGCAGAAGCACCAUGGCCAGGCCCUGCAUCCUACUCUCCGGAAUAAGAGAUGCUCAUCUUCAAGACACUUGUCUUCUCCUCCACAGCCCAAUAAUUUUGAGGAAAUAAUACCUGCAAAGAGCAGGGGUUGAAUUUGUAGUCCUGGUGUGUCAAAGUCCUUUUCUUUCCACUGUAAUGUAAUUUAUUGUGUUAUAUUAUUGUUAUAUAUUGUGUUGUUAUUAUCACCACUAAAAUGUUUAUAUUAUGAAA